rnacentral:piRNA from 1 species
UGAGUAAGUACAGGGGCAGAUGCUC